GCCCGAUCCUCCCACCCUUUGUGUACCUACCUCUGUUGCUUUGGCGGGCCGCGGUCCUCCGCGGCCGCCCCCCUCCCCGGGGGGGUGGCCAGCGCCCGCCAGAGGACCAUCAAACUCCAGUCAGUAAACGAUGCAGUCUGAAAAACAUUUAAUAAACUAAAACUUUCAACAACGGAUCUCUUGGUUCUGGCAUCGAUGAAGAACGCAGCGAAAUGCGAUAAGUAAUGUGAAUUGCAGAAUUCAGUGAAUCAUCGAAUCUUUGAACGCACAUUGCGCCCUUUGGUAUUCCGAAGGGCAUGCCUGUUCGAGCGUCAUUACAACCCUCAAGCUCUGCUUGGUAUUGGGCACCGUCCUUUGCGGGCGCGCCUCAAAGACCUCGGCGGUGGCGUCUUGCCUCAAGCGUAGUAGAACAUACAUCUCGCUUCGGAGCGCAGGGCGUCGCCCGCCGGACGAACCUUCUGAACUUUUCUCAAGGUUGACCUCGGAUCAGGUAGGGAUACCCGCUGAACUUAAGCAUAUCAAUAAGGCGGA
rnacentral:rRNA from 1 species